AUUGAACGCUGGCGGCAGGCCUAACACAUGCAAGUCGAGCGGAGCGGCGGACGGGUGAGUAAUGCCUAGGCAUCUGCCUGGUAGUGGUGGAUAACGUCCGGAAACGGGCGCUAAUACCGCAUACUAUCAGAUGAGCCUAGGUCGGGUUAGCUAGUUGGUGGGUUAAAGGCCUACCAAGGCGACGAUCCGUAACUGGUCUGAGAGGAUGAUCAGUCACACUGGAACUGAGACACGGUCCAGAGGCCCACGUGAGGAAGCAGUGGGGAAGAGUGGACAAUGGGCGAAAGCCUGAUCCAGCCAUGCCGCGUGUGUGAAGAAGGUCUGCGGAUUUUAAAGUACUUUAAGUUGGGAGGCGUUACCAACAGAAUAAGCACCGGCUAACUUCGUGCCAGCCGCCGCGGUAAUUC
rnacentral:rRNA from 1 species